rnacentral:rRNA from 1 species
GACGUAGGGGGCAAGCGUUAUUCGGAAUCAUUGGGCGUAAAGCGCUCGUAGGCGGGACAACAAGUCCGUGCAGAAAGACCUGGGCUCAACUCAGGGAACGGCACGGAUACUGUUGUUCUUGAGGCAAUCAGAGGGUGAUGGAAUUCCCGGUGUAGCGGUGAAAUGCGUAGAUAUCUGGAAGAACACCAAAGGCGAAGGCAGUGUCCUGGGUGGUCGCUGACGCUGAGAGGCGAAAGCCAGGGGAGCGAACGGG